UGGGGAAUAUUGCACAAUGGGCGCAAGCCUGAUGCAGCCAUGCCGCGUGUGUGAAGAAGGCCUUCGGGUUGUAAAGCACUUUCAGCGAGGAGGAAGGUGGUGAACUUAAUACGUUCAUCAAUUGACGUUACUCGCAGAAGAAGCACCGGCUAACUCCGUGCCAGCAGCCGCGGUAAUACGGAGGGUGCAAGCGUUAAUCGGAAUUACUGGGCGUAAAGCGCACGCAGGCGGUUUGUUAAGUCAGAUGUGAAAUCCCCGGGCUCAACCUGGGAACUGCAUUUGAAACUGGCAAGCUAGAGUCUCGUAGAGGGGGGUAGAAUUCCAGGUGUAGCGGUGAAAUGCGUAGAGAUCUGGAGGAAUACCGGUGGCGAAAGGCGGCCCCCUGGACGAAGACUGACGCUCAGGUGCGAAAAGGCGUGGGGGAGCAAAACAGGAUUAGAUACCCUGGUAGUCCACGCUGUAAAACGAUGUCGAUUUUGGAGGUUGUG
rnacentral:rRNA from 1 species